rnacentral:lncRNA from 1 species
UUUUGUUUUGUUUUUUUUUUUUUUGGUGCCUCCCCUCUCCUAAAAUCACAAUACAAAUGUGCCAUGUUCAUGGACAUAGCUAAGCGCCCAACAACCUUCGGGAGUUACUCUAAAGUUGCUUUGAUAAAAUUUAUGAAUGCACUGGGCUACUUUUUAAUAUUACCAAUCUUUAUAAAAGCAAUCAUAAUUAAUGGAUAGCUAUGUUUGGAUACAAAAUUAUUUGAAUUAUUAUUUUGCUUGCAUCACAGGUGCAUUUUUCAAUUCAAUUUUUUUAUAUUUUUAAUUACUUUUUUAUGUUACAUAUAUCAUAUUACAAAAAGUAUUAUAAUAAUUAUUUCAAAUAAUAUUUCAAAUAAUACCCUAUACAAAAAUAUUGUUUAAUUUUCUACUCCUGUGGCUUUAAAAAUGUAUCAGUUCAUAAUAUACUGCAAUGAAUAAUUAAGCAAAAACUAUGUAGAAGAUGUCAUUAAAUUUACUAAAUAAGCGAAAACAUAUUUAUGUUAUUAAAUUUCUGUGAGGACCCGAAUUUUUCUCACUUAUAAUUCAAUUUUUAUGGCUUAAUUAAUUAUUUGCUUACCCAUUUUCUCCGAAUAUUAUAUUCUAACCUCGAUAGACCUAAUUACAUGGAUCUAUAGCUUUGUUAUAUUUUAAAAGUGACUUGUUUCAAAAAUUAAUUUUUGGAAGCUCGUUUAGUGAAAAAGUGAAAACGCGUUUGGAAAUUUUAACCGUUUGAGAGUACAAUAAGUUUGGAAAAUUGGAGACUUGUAUAAUGGUUCUAAAAUAGGUAAUUUUAUGUUUAAGUACUCAAAUGAUAGUUAUUAGUAAUAUCGUUAUAAGAAAUUCUUGGAGGUUUCGCUUUAUCGCACUUGAAUUGGAAAUACGCGUUUUCACGCGCGCGAUUAAUUGAGGGACUCUACACCAUUAUUUUGGGACAAUUAAGAGUGAAUAAUAUUUAUAUGAAUAUAAGUAUAUUGAAAGUUUAGUGCACUAGUGAAAUAAACUCGAGAGGAAUCGAGCCCAAAAACCCCGCAUACACGCGCAAGAGAGAGUUGACUUUUGGGGUUAUUGUGGCCACACAUUUAAGCUUACUUUAGGAGCUUUAUUUCAGCACCACACUCUCUCUCUUUCCCUCUCACUUUGGCCAAACCAUCAGCUGCAAAAACAACUCAAAGUUUCUGAAAUUUUCAUCUCCAAAUCUUGCACAAACCUUCACCAAAUCCUACCAAAUUUUAACUACACCUAGCUUAACACUUGGAGAUUACAUCUAGCUAAGAAAAGGAGCUUCAAUCCACGGUUUAAUUGGGCAAAGAAGGGACCAAAAUUCUGCCUUGCUACAUCUAAACAAGUAGGUAACGAUCAACCUUGAAAAUCUUGGUUUAUGGAAGUAGUAUUACACGUAUAAACUCUUGCAUGCAUGUGGGUAGUCUUGUUUAUGGUGGAUUUGUGUUGUGUGGGCUCUAUGAACUCCCACAUUUGAUGGAUGGAUUGAUUUGAUGUUGGAAGAUGAAAUUAAUGGUAGUUUAGUGCUUAUAUUAGUGGAUUAAUGUUGUAUUGUUGAUAGAAAAUCAAAGGAGGUGCUUGGAGCAAAAGUGACCGUUUUACCCCUGCAUUGUUCAAGCACUUUUGUGCUAAAUUUUGAGGUUCUAAUGACUUGAUUAUGUUGUUUACAUGUUAUUGUGAGUGUGAAAAAAAUUUCAUUGAAAAAUAACAUGAUUUGGUUGGUCAAAUGAGUUGAUUUCCAAAGUUAGCAAAACUGGAAAAUGAAUCCCGUAUUGCCCAGGCAGUCAUUUGUAUCGGUCAUAACUCCUUGUUUCGAUGUCAAAAUCAAGUGCCAUUUUCGGCAAUGGAAACUAGACAUUCCCAAAUUUCCAUUGGUAUAAAAUACACGACCUAGUUCCACUCGAGGGAGCCAAACCAUUCGUUUGAAAAUUGUUGUCCUGUUUCGUUGCUCUUCAGGAGGCAGGACAUGAACUGUAACUUGAUGCUCAAAAACGAGUUGCUUGUGAAUAGAUUUUGAAAAUGGUUUCUUCUAAGAAAUUCUAUCUUUAUGAAAUAUCUUUUCAACGCCACCAACCACGCUCAAUUCCGAGUUAAAUUGAGUGAGUUGUAUCCAUAUUUCGAAACUGAUGCAGUGAGUAAAAAAUCCUCUUUUGGCUAGUAAAGGCCUAACCCUUGGUUGGGACUUGUUGUUUUGAAAUUCUUGAUGUUAAUCACCUACCGAAUAUAUCUUGGAUUCUUAUUAGACCUGAUUAUCAUAAAUGAUACAUGUUUUAGGCAUUUUCAUAGGCCAAAGGUUUGAGAAAAGAAAAAUUGAAGUACAAGGCAGAUUUACGUUGGAAAUUCUUGAAACUUUGAUGGUUUUGUUAACCAACUUGCCGAAUGAAUUUUCCUAUGAAAUUUGACAGAAGAAUAGCUCUUAUAUGGUAGUGUAAUCAUACCAAAUUUUGUGCCGUUCCGAGUCCAUUUCACUACCAAAUUAAAGUCCCAAAGUUUGGAACUCAAAUCUGGAAACUAGCUUAACAGUUUCUUUUUUUUUUCCUCCAACUUUGAGCGACCAUAUCUCGGUGCUCAAAACUCAGAUUCUUGAUCCGCUUGUUCUGUACUAAACCUUACUUGCAACUCUAAUUGAGUUAGAAAUUUCGGAGGCUGGUUUGAAACGUAUGAAUUUUACCGAAUUUCCAAAGUUAGCGAAAAACCAACCCCGGCACAACUCUAAGUAACCUGAAAUAGUAACUUUAAUCCCAUUUUUGAAUACCUUUCACUUAGAUUCAUGGAAAUGUGUAUUCUAAGAACUUUUAGUACUUUGGAAAUAGUUUCCAACGGUACCAAGUUUUCCAAUUUUGGACUUGUAGAGAGUGAAAUACGAUUUUCCAAAACUUUCGUAUCCAAACAGAAAUUUCCGAAACUUAAGCAAAUAGAGUUUUUCGAAUUCUCCUUUUUCCUUCGAUAUCACUUAAAUGUUUUCCACAUGAUUUGAAAUAUAAAAACCCGAUUUCUCUUAUGCAUUGAAACCCCACUUUUGAGUCUCGAUUUGCAUGUGAUUAGGACUCGUACUCGUGAAAUCUUCUUAGAUUGUACAUGGGUACAAUCUUUCUCAAUAAGUAGGGGGUUUUAAGCGAUAGUGUGUAAUAGUUUAUUGUUAUUUGUUCAGGCGCUCAAGGGGACCAUCAAGAGGAACUCGAAGCGGACGCCUAGACACUUGUUUGAGAAGUUACUCUCUUGUUGCAAUAGGUGAGUGUUCUAUAUAGGAAUACGUAAUUUGCAUAAGUCUAUGACUUGGUCAUUCUAUGGUCAUCACGUGUUAAGUGUUAAGUGCUACAUGUUAAGUAUUUAUCACACUUACACAUAUGUAAAUAAGAUAUACUUGAAUUACUUGCUAUGAAAUGCUUGAAGAGCAUAUUUAUGUGACUACUUGAAUUACUCGACAUGAAAUACUUGAAAUAUGUAUACUUGAAUUACUCGACAUGGAAUACGUGAAUUGCAUAUUUACGUGAAGUGUUUAAAUGAUCAAUUAUGCUAUGGUUGCAUAAGUCGGUUGGAGUGAAUUUCUUCGACUCUUAAGUGAUAAAUAUGGGAAAAUGGUCAAUAGCGGCCUAUUAAAAUGAAAAAUGUCUACCGAUUACCAAUUACCGAUUACCGUUUACCGUUACUCAUAAAUACUUACCGUUUACCGAUUUAUUUGAUUACUACUGUUUACAGAUUUACUUGACUACUUGAUUAUUUGAUUACCAUGAAUUCCGUAUUCAUAUGAAAUUAUGGCAUAUUCCUUACGGGUUUGGAUGUUAAGUGUUAGCUAUAAUUACUCAUAUAGAAUUGUCCAUCAUUUUAGGGCGAGUGUGUACUUUAUCUCACUCGACCUCUCCAAAAUGAUAGAUUUUUACCGUUCAUCGGUUUACGUGAUUACGUGUGCAUGUUGUAAGUUCUAAGCUGAACUUGGGCCCUGCCCUUGGUUACUGACCUACUCGAGCCAGGACUGGGCUCGGUCGGGUAGGUUGGAAUCCUGGGCCACCGUUUCGGUAUACUCGAGCAUUACCACUGGAGGGAUAAGGUGAUGACCAGACAAACCGAGGGGAUCCGGAAAUCAUAAGGUGCAGAUGACCGAAAUGGUUCCACUGGAACACCGUAUCCUUCAAUGUGUAUUUAACUUUGCAUAGUGAUAACCAUUUUUUGCAAAUGUGCCAACGUGCAAAUCUUGAGUCAUACCCGUGAUAUGUUCAAAGUACUCGUAUAAUGAUAUUUGUCUCAUGUUCAUGUACCAACGUGCAACCCCAAACCAUACAUGUGGUAUGCUCCCUUUACUUGAUUUAUUAGAACUGCUAGAGUGUCUUGGAACCUCACUGGGCUGUGUAGCUCAUACCACGUCGUGGAUUUCUUUUACAAGGUCCGAGACCAAGAGUGUCCGAGAAUAGUACUAGAUUGCUUUCUUUUGAAGAUCCUAAGUUGUAUUAUAACGGAUGGUUGUAGUACAUAUUCUUUUGGAUUGUAUUAAGUUUGAGGGCUAUCUGAUUGUAAGUGUGAAAUGUUUUGGAGUACUUUAAUUAUGUAAUUAAAGUAUUUAAAGUAUUCCUAAUUUUGAAUUAUGGAUCGUAUCGAGUCCUGACGAGAGUUGGGCAGGCCUCCCGCCGAUACUCUUGGGUUUGCCCUUGGGAGAAGUGGGGCGUCACAAUUUCAGCACUAAGAAAAAUACUUUGUUAGAGGUUAUAAGUAGAUUUAAAAAAAUGGGAUAUUGGCAGUGGUUGUUAUCUACUUGAUUAUACAGACCACUUUCUUAUUUGCCUUGAUUAUUGUAUUUGUUUAAUGAAUGUUUUCUUAUUCAUACUAUGUAUUUUUAUCUAAAUGAUUCAUUUCUUACUCGUACCAUGCAUGUUUCUCUAACGAAAUACCCUUUCUUUGUACCAAACAAGUAUUUCACGUAUAAUCAUAUGCCUCUGCAUUGUUUUUAUAUAACCAACGUAGUAGUAUUAUCAAAUUUCUGAUUAUAUUUCAUUUGCCACUAUGUUUUUUAGGAAACUAUAGACAAAGUGAUUUUUAACCGGAAUUCUUUCAACCUUUAUGUGACUUUUUCCUUUUCUAUUCCUCAUUUAUUUUUGUUUUCUUUCAUACCAAAUAUCGUAUGAUUGAUUCUCUUAAUCGCGAAACGAAACUUAAAGAAAUAAAAGUUUUGUUUGGAUAGAGAAUUAUUUGAAAUAUUAUUUAGAAUAAUUACUGUAGCACUUUUUGUGAUUUAAUGUAUACGAGAUAAAAAUAUGAUUGAGAAUAUAAAAAGGUGUAUUGAAAAAUGUGUUUAUGAUGCAAGCGAAAUAUUAAGACCCACAACAAAAUUUACAUCAGCAACUGCUACUUACAUCUUCAUUAUGUACCUUAUAUACAUAAUCUAGAAAUUUUUAUUUAUUCCAUAAACACGUGAAAUUAUUUCCAUAAACUAUGUAAGACCUUUUAGCCACAAGCGAUUUAUGAAUUAACUGCAUUUCAUUUUCAUAUAUAAAACAUAUAUGUUCAACUUCUAACCAAUUACUUAAACUUAAUUUCACUUCUAUACUUUCACACAGGCCAAUCCUAUCAUAAAAGACUAUCACACUCAUUCAGAGUACUCCAAAAUGCAAGUUGCUUUAGUAAUUUGCCAGCCUGGAAAAGAACUACUAAAGGGGCCAAAUUGUAUAAGUUUCACUUUGAAUGGUAAAUUAUAUAUGACUAUCCCUAACUUCGUGUCCAUCAAAUUGUGAGGCGUGGCCCAAGACAUUAUAUCAAUUUACUUCUGUAGAGCUUGAGGGUUCUUUGAUGGAGACAUGCAAGCAUGUUCUGCGUUCAAGCAAAAAAUAGUUAGAUUUUUGUGAUUUUGAGGCCAUUCAUGUUUUCCUUUUAAAAAAUUACAUGCAUCUGCAAUUUCCCUAGCACGAUUGUGCGUCAACUUGCCGGAGUCCUCCUACACGAUAUCGCUUUGGUGUAUGUAAUUUGCCAUUAUGUGUCAUAGUUUUGGGGGCAACAUAUUCACGUGCCAACCAAAAGUUAGCUACGUGUCAUGCUUAAAUGCCACCAAAUCGGCGUUUCUAUGGUAGGAAAGCCCGUACCAUUCCUACCGCAUCCAAUUCCGUCCCACAUCGAAAGAUCGUGGGGCAUUAGACUCUGGGUUUAAGGUUUAUGGGUGGCCGAUUCUGUCACUAAUAGGCUGAAUCUGAUUACUUUGUGAAUUUUCCUUAAAUUGUUCGUUUGGACCGUUCUUUGAUGACUCUCCAAGUGUUAAUCUAACUAUGUGCGUGUAUUCUUGAUCAUUUGUGAGAAAAAAAAAAUCCCGUGAUAGAGAGGACGGGGUAUAGAGAAAUCCCUUCCAUUCCAUACGCUUCCUAAAAGUUCAAUGCUGGUGUCUCUUCACAAGCCCACAAACUAUUAUCAAGAAAACUACAGCAACUACUUUUGUUGCACGCAACAGUUAUCGAAACUAAAGCCAGGCAACGUUAUUAUAAAAUCAGGGGAGGGGGAGAUGACUAAUUUCAUAAAUGAAAUUUCUCUCUUCAUAGUAAAUUUUAAUUAUUUUGAUACUUUAAUUUUUCUCCUGCACUUUUGUUUAUUAUAUACCAAAAAAGAUACGUUGCUAUAUGUUGAAUUAAGUUACUUGGGGUCCAGGCUGUGCAAGGUACAGUUGCUAAGGUAGUUUGGAUUGUCGUUUUUUGUCAAAAAAUUACGUCGUUUUCCGUGAUCACAUUUCCCUAUUAUUUUUUUUCAUCACAUACAUCAAAUUGCUACAGUAAUUUUUCCAUGAAAAAUGACGGAAAAUACAAUCCAAACGGAUAGCUUUACUAAAUGAAAUUGAAUUGGGCCACAUGUACUCCAUGCAGCACCCAUUGUGUUACUUCACAAAAAAAGAAAAUUCAACAAAUGCACAGCAUGUACUACGCGUGGUUCCCUAUUUUAUUUUGCAGAAGAGCUCCUCGCACAAAAUGUGGCCCCCUAGUUCCCAAAAUAAUAAAAAAAUUAACAUUUUUCUAAAAAUAAAAAUUAAAAAAGGCGUUUGGGUACGCAUGUAAGGAUAUGCGGCACUCGUAAUGCCGAUUUUGGCAAAAUGGACACUCAUAAAUGAAGAAAAGACCCACCACUUUUCUCAUUUUAUUCAUUUUUAAAAAUUUUUUAAACAAUAUUAUGAGAAAUUGAUCUGUCUCCCUAUCUUGAAGGUGUGAAAGCAUCAAUCUUUCAAAUGUCGACGAACUCUUUGAUUAGCCUUUCCAUCUAGCCAUUUGAGAAGUGCACAAAUUUUCUUACAUUUCAAUAGACUAUUCAUAACUUAAAAAUCAGAAUUUGUUUGGUCACAUUGUAGAUUCAUCUAAAGUCAUCUCUUCCGGACAAAAUGUUCCUCAAAUUCAUCCGGUCAUGUGUUAAAUUUCUGUUCAAUCAUCCAACCAAUAGUUGGUUCCCCGUUCAGUCAAUAGUUUGUUUUGACCAGUUACCAUAAAUCUUUAGGGUAUGCCAAAAAUUUAGUUAGGUAUGGGUGCUUUUAGUGGGGUUCUGGUUGUCAAACUGCAAAUUCACUGGCCUCAAUUCCGUCUACUUACAUCCCCUCGGCCAAAGACGUGAGCAGCCUGGCUAAUUUGAAAAAAUGUCCGGUCUAAAGUCAUCUCUUCCGGACAAAAUGUUCACACGUUCCUCAACUUAAACGACCUUUUCCGCCGUCGUAGUAGAUUGUCGCAUCGGCUGACGGAUUGAGCUCUUCGUAACCAUUUGCGUGAGACGUGAGAACAUGUAGUCCUGAACAGCGAGUUGUGGCGAAAAUUCUAAGGAUUGGUAUGGUGGUUUGUACCAAUGCAUUGGUAAAGUGGUUUGAUGUGGUACGGUUGUGAUAGGAGCAAGAGGAAAAGCAAAAUUGAAGGUUGUUUUUGGUGUGGGUUAAGGCUACCGAAACUUAAAUGAAUGUUGUGAUGGUAGGCUCCAGAUUGAAAUGACUCAGGACAAUUUAUCAGGCACAUGGGUUCACCUCCACUAUGGAUUCACUCAUCGUUAACCCAUGUGAAAAGACCCAAGACAUUAUUAAUAAUUGUUUUCUAAUUUAUGAACAAUAGACAUAACGAAGAAAAUGCAAAGUUAGAUAUACAACUGAAAAGAAAUUAGAAAAAUAAAUAAUAUAUGUAUGUGCAGAAUUAGAUAAAUUUUGAUUCAUUUAAUUACAUAAAUUGACAAAAGAGUAGAUAAUUUAAAUAUUUUGGAAGAAAUUUUGGAAUAAUAUGUGUAAUUAAUUAAACCAAUAAUAGGAAUUAAUAGCUGUAAAGGAGUAAAUGAAUGGUUAAUUAAUUAGUUGAGAUGGAAUAUUUGUAGGAGAAGUAAUAUGUUGUUUUAUUAUAUGAGAAGAAAUUAAUAUGAUUUUUUUAUUAUAUUUGCGGGUAGAACAUAAAGAAAUGUUUAAAAAAAUGCAUUUGUAACGGUAUUAGUCCAAAUUAAUGAGAAUGAAUUGAUGACAUAAUAACCGGAGUGCAAAUAGGUGAAAUUUAAUUAGACCAUACUUGUCACUUUUAAAUUUUCAACAUUAUCAUCAUAAUCACUUAAUUAUACUUUUAUCAUUUGAUUAACAUAUUGUCUAUGUAUUGUCAUCCAAUAGCACAACUAACUUUCAUCGAUAACCAACCAUAAACAUUAUAAUUACCAAAUUCAUUAAAAUAAUUUUAAAAAAGCUUUUAAAAGAUCAAAAUUUUUUGUUUAUUAAAAUUUUAUACCAAUUUCUUCCAUAUAAAAAGUGAUUGUUUUAAAUUACACAUAGAUUGAGUGUGCCCUUUAUCACUAGUACUACUAAUGGUAUUUGUACUAAUGUAUACAUGCUUGAAAUCAAAUAUUCGUAUUGAUUAGACUAUGUAGUGAUGCAGUUAAUAAUAUUUUUAAUAGGUAUAAAUACAAAAAUAUAAUUCCUCAUUGUUUAUUCUAAAAGCAGGACAACAAACAAUCUUAACAUUAAAAGUAUUCCAUAUACUUUCAUGGAUAAUAUAAUACAAGAUGACAUGCCCGAAUUUACUAAUGAAUGAAUAAUUUUCUUUCAAAUAACAUAAAAAACUUUUUAUAGUUGGUACUCCCGAACUUGAACAUAUUUUUAGGCAAAAGGAGAUAAAAAUUUAUGAAACAUAAGUCUAUUGUUGUUUGUUUUAUCUCGAAAUUUAAAUAUAUCCAAACCUCAUUCCUAAUUUUCCUUAUUGUAUCUAAAUGUUUUGGGCAUGAAUUCUCAUAUUACAAUAAAUUAUGAAGAGUUAAUAAUACUUUAAGUGCUUCUUUUUGUGUAAUAGGCUCCAAAGUUACCAUAUCAUCUCUAACUUUCAUCAUUAGCAUGAUUUUCAGUAAUGCCAACAAUAACUCUUUUAAACUGGAGACCUCUAAACUUGUCUCAUUUUCAUCAUCUGGAUAAUCCAAUAGGUAAUUUACAUAUUUAGACUUUUAACAUCUUUUUAUUACUAGAAUAAUUCAUAUGUUUAUAAAAAUAAAAUAAAACUUUAGUCGAUUAAACGAGUGUUUAUUUGAAUUGUAAGCACACUCAUAAAUUAAUAAAUUAUUAAUUUAUUUUAAAUUAAUAGAAUUUGUAUAACUCCGAGAUUGUUAAUUUAUAGAGGAUUUAUUGUAAUUUGUAUUAAGAAAACUACGUAGCAUUCAUUAAAUUGAGAAAUUAGUACUUUCAUUCAAUAACUUCAAGGCUAAUUAACUAUGCAGCUAUAAUUAUUGCUAGCUAUGAUUGCAUAAAAAGAAGAAGAAGAAAGUAUCAUACCCAAUAAUGUUGCACAAAUAUAGUAUUGAUGUAUACAUGCUUAAAUUUAAGAACUGGUAUUGGUUAGACUAUCAUGACACAGUUAAGAACAAUUUUUAAUAUGGACUAAUACAAGAUUAUAACUUUGCAUGUUGGAAAAUUAGAAAUGAAUAGAUAAUUUACAUUUCUUUUAUGAUUUUAAAAAGCAUUGCAAAUAUAUGAUAAAAUUAAUAGAACAAGAUAUUGUAAGGAAAUGAUCAUAUAUAAGAGCUAAAUUUUCAUUUUCUAAUGUAUUGCUACUUAUCACGUGACUUCAUCCUAUAGUAUUAGGUAUAGUUGCAAAGAAAAGGACCAAGAAUAAUUGCAAAGAAAAUCAAAUAUUGUGCAAGAAUUGCAAAAGUGUUAACAAUAAUUGGUAAAAAUAAUUACAAAUUCAUGGAUUCAAUUUGUAGUUUUGCGAAGUAGAAAGAAAGAACUCUUUUCAUGAUUCAUGAAUCAUAAAAUAUGAACUCUUUUCAUGAUUCAUGAUCUAAUUGCUUGAGUAUAUAGUAAAAAAGGGCUAAGAAUAUUUGCAAAACCUUAUUAAUCUUGUUUUCAGAUUUAUGAAUUAUAAAUCGUAAGAACUGUGAAAGGAUUAAGAAUAAUUGGUAUUACAAUGAGAAACAAAUAUUGUUUUUGGAUUCGUAUUGUAGUUGUGUGAAAUAAAAAGAAAGAACUCAUUUCAUGAUUCAUGAAUCAUAAAGUACGAUUUAAUCAUUUUUCAUAAAUGAAAAUGAGAUGUUGAAGCAUGUAUGUAGUAUAUGUUACAGAAGGAAUAAGAAAAUUGACCAAAGAAAACUAAGGUUGUGUUUGGAUUGCAUUUUCCGUCAUUUUUCAUGGAAAAAUUACUGUAGCGAUUUGAUAUAUGUGAGGAAAAAAGGUGAUAGGGAAAUGUGAUCACGGAAAACGACAAUAUUUUCCGACGGAAACAAGCAAUCCAAACAAGGCAUCUUUUCAUGAUGCAUGAAGCAUAAAAUAAAGUAUAAUUCAUUCGCAAUUGAAAGUGGGAGUGUAAUUAACCUUGAGUCUCUUAUUACGGUGAAAGUGUAAUUUUUCCGGAGAUGGACUUGCUAGUUCUUCCCACUCAAUUUUACUUUUCGUUUCAUGAAAGGUAAAUCAGGCUUUGUUUUCGUUUCUUUCUACUCAAUUUCGUCUCCAGAGAUGGCAGCCCAACUUUACCUUCACGUAAGUAAAUAAACUUUUCCUUCAAUUUCCUUUGUACCGUUUUAUUACUACUUUAUACUUAUUUGUCCUCGCAAUGUCAGACUUGUCAACCGCUAUAAUAACUUUGACUUUCAGCUCAAUACUUGUGCAGACUAGUCAUUCUAAUACAAAUUGUGUGGUACAAACCGCUGUACCCUUUUGAAGACGCUUCGCGAGUUGUGGGGCUCAUAAUAGACUUUUCCCCAAAGUUCAAUGCAUGUGUCUUUUCAUAGGUCCAUGGGCUAUUAUUAGGGAAACUACAACGACUAUUGUUGUAGUACGUAACAGAGCCAGUCAAUGUAUUACCGAAACUAUUGGCAGGCGAUCAAAACGUGGAUUGAACAAAUAUCACGGCCCCACAACUAUUUAUGUGCUAGUACAACACUUGUUUUUCACGAUACGAGAGGCUACAACAUCAAUUUUAAAAUUAUAUCCACUGUUAUUAAAAUUUAAAAGUUAGAAUCCUUGAAGUGUGACAAACUUUACAGAAGGGAAGGAGUAAUACAUACUGCAUAUAUAUAUAUAUAUAUAUCUAUCUAUUUUUUUUUCUUGGCUUGAUUUAUCCUUAUAAAUAAAAUCAUCGUAAUAAUUUAGUGAAGAAAAAUAAUUAGUCCAAGCUCAAACUGCAACUAUUAUAAAAUCUUCAAUAAUCAGAGAAGAGGAACGCAACUAAAAAAGAAAAAGGACAACGCUCUCCCCAGUUUCAAGAAAGGCACAACUUAAAAUGUUGCUUAUUAGGCACUUAUACCGUAGUACAACCCAAAGUCGUAAGCAAACUAAAUAACUUUGCAACAAACAAUAAAUUACUACAUCACAAAUACACUUCUGAAAGGUAAAUUCACUGGAGAAUUGCCCAGCCGAAAGUCUAUUCGUUCUCUGAAAUCUCGAUAUGCAAUCCACUGGGGAAAAUAAGACCAGGUUUCCGGAUUGUCUCUC